rnacentral:misc_RNA from 1 species
AAGUCGUAACAAGGUAACCGUAGGUGAACCUGCGGUUGGAUCAUUAACAAAAAUCCAAAUUUGAGGGGUUGGAGGGAGUGGGUUUUGCUUCAAGCAAUUCUCCUCUCUUUAACUUCUUUCACCUUUAUGUGCACCUGUUUAAACCCAAUUUCCAUUCUCUCUUUUCCGUUGUGACUGUUUUCUGGUGUGAUUUUGUUUACAAAAUCAUAUGGAAUCCAAAUCACUUUGGGAGGAGUGAAUGGGAAUGCGAGUGGAAAAGGGUUAUUCAUUUAACCUUUUCCCAUUCGAUUGAACAAAACCAAACGUUUUUCUAACUAAACUGUCUAAAAUAAAUAUAUUUUCAAAAAUAAUUGAAAAAACAACUUUUGACAACGGAUCUCUUGGCUCUC